UACAGAGGUCCCAAGCGUUGUUCGGAUUCACUGGGCGUAAAGGGUGCGUAGGUGGUCGGGUAAGUCUGAUGUGAAAUCUCACAGCUUAACUGUGAAACUGCAUUGGAUACUAUCCGACUCGAGGAAUGGAGGGGAGACUGGAAUUCUCGGUGUAGCAGUGAAAUGCGUAGAUAUCGAGAGGAACACCAGUGGCGAAGGCGAGUCUCUGGACAUUUCCUGACGCUGAGGCACGAAAGCCAGGGGAGCAAACGGG
rnacentral:rRNA from 1 species